rnacentral:rRNA from 1 species
GACGAACGCUGGCGGCGUGCCUAAUACAUGCAAGUAGAACGCUGAAGGAGGAGCUUGCUCUUCUGGAUGAGUUGCGAACGGGUGAGUAACGCGUAGGUAACCUGCCUGGUAGCGGGGGAUAACUAUUGGAAACGAUAGCUAAUACCGCAUAACAGUAGAUGUUGCAUGACAUUUACUUAAAAGGUGCAAUUGCAUCACUACCAGAUGGACCUGCGUUGUAUUAGCUAGUUGGUGGGGUAACGGCUCACCAAGGCGACGAUACAUAGCCGACCUGAGAGGGUGAUCGGCCAAACUGGGACUGAGACACGGCCCAGACUCCUACGGGAGGCAGCAGUAGGGAAUCUUCGGCAAUGGACGGAGGUCUGACCGAGCAACGCCGCGUGAGUGAAGAAUGUUUUCGGAUCGUAAAGCUCUGUUGUAAGAGAAGAACGAGUGUGAGAGUGGAAAGUUCACACUGUGACGGUAUCUUACCAGAAAGGGACGGCUAACUACGUG